GGGGAGGAAAAAGAAAGUCGGCUGAUUAAAAUCUGGGGUGAGAGAGAAAGAAAAAGGGAGAGGAAAAAAAAAGGAAGAAAAAAAAUUUCUGCAGACAAGUAGCAGGGCUGAUCGAGCAGUCAUGUUUGGAUGCCAUUUUCUCCUUCAUUUUAGUCUCCUUUUCAUCGAUUAUUUUUUUUCUGCAUAUUUUAUAGAUGUUGGAGAAAAACUUUCAUGUUGUAGAUUUCAUGAGAGAACAGUUUAAAGCUGCCAAAUCUGAUGCCAAAUUUGGAAGAAAACCAACCCUGGUAUCCGAAACUCUUGGAGUUUGGAAUCAAAUCUGCAGCCUCAAAGUCCGUUCAUUUUGAUUCAUUUCUGACUGAUACAUCCAGGUCCGUCUCUAGAAGAAAUGAUGAAGCAGUUAAUUGGGACAAGUGCAGUCAUUGCAAAUUCAAGUAAAUCAAUUGAUGAUAGCAAUUAACCGUCUAGAAUCCCAAGUCCAAGGGAGACUUUUAAAUUAUGAAGAAUUGCCCUCAUAAACCAUCGUCGACGUUAAGAAAGAUGAGGAUGUAUUUAUCCGGACAAAUGACAUGGAAUUGCAAGAGUUUGAAGAAAAUGGAUCUAAAGAUACAGCUGAAAAGGAGGUUGAAGUGCAAGAAAUGAGGCCUCAACAUCAAUUCGUUCAAGUGAAUGAAUCUAGUGAAUAAUAUCCAAAAGCGGUGACAUCUCCCAUAUUCCUUAAUCAGGCGUCUCAAGUCGUAUGGAGAGCUCGUGGUUAGAAGGGUUCUUGCCCUCAUGACGUGCCCGCGUCAAACCAGCUGGAGAACUCCUCAUUCCGUGCCUUCAUCACGUGCCCACGUCACAUUCGCGAGAAAGGUAAGUAUUCAAAAAACUCAAGAACGGUUAUUGAUUCUCUGUUAAUAUCUAAUUUUGAAUUUCGAAAAUAAAAUUUGCAAAAAAAAAAA